rnacentral:rRNA from 1 species
GAUGAACGCUGGCGGCGUGCCUAAUACAUGCAAGUCGAGCGAACAGACGAGGAGCUUGCUCCUCUGACGUUAGCGGCGGACGGGUGAGUAACACGUGGAUAACCUACCUAUAAGACUGGGAUAACUUCGGGAAACCGGAGCUAAUACCGGAUAAUAUAUUGAACCGCAUGGUUCAAUAGUGAAAGACGGUUUUGCUGUCACUUAUAGAUGGAUCCGCGCCGCAUUAGCUAGUUGGUAAGGUAACGGCUUACCAAAGCGACGAUGCGUAGCCGACCUGAGAGGGGGAUCGGCCACACUGGAACUGAGACACGGUCCAAACUCCUACGGGAGGCAGCAGUAGGGAAUCUUCCGAAAGGGGCGAAAGCCUGACGGGGCAACGCCGGGGGGGGGAUGAAGGUUUGCGGAUCGUAAAACUCUGUUAUUAGGGAAGAAAAAAUGUGUAAGUAACUAUGCCCGUCUUGACGGUACCUAAUCAGAAAGCCACGGCUAACUACGU